rnacentral:rRNA from 1 species
GACGAACGCUGGCGGCGUGCCUAAUACAUGCAAGUAGAACGCUGAAGGAGGAGCUUGCUCUUCUGGAUGAGUUGCGAACGGGUGAGUAACGCGUAGGUAACCUGCCUGGUAGCGGGGGAUAACUAUUGGAAACGAUAGCUAAUACCGCAUAAAAGUAGAUGUUGCAUGACAUUUACUUAAAAGGUGCAAUUGCAUCACUACCAGAUGGACCUGCGUUGUAUUAGCUAGUUGGUGGGGUAACGGCUCACCAAGGCGACGAUACAUAGCCGACCUGAGAGGGUGAUCGGCCACACUGGGACUGAGACACGGCCCAGACUCCUACGGGAGGCAGCAGUAGGGAAUCUUCGGCAAUGGACGGAAGUCUGACCGAGCAACGCCGCGUGAGUGAAGAAGGUUUUCGGAUCGUAAAGCUCUGUUGUAAGAGAAGAACGAGUGUGAGAGUGGAAAGUUCACACUGUGACGGUAUCUUACCAGAAAGGGACGGCUAACUACGUGCCAGCAGCCGCCGUAACAC